AUGCCACCUUCCGUGCACGACACGGAAGGCCUGCCGUUCAUGAAGCAUGGUUGUGUCUUCAGUGCGCACCGCCGGAUGAACGACAUGCUGGGACACGCUAUCCCUGAUUUAUGCCGCUUCAGCUUGGAUGAGUCUCCAUCGUGUGGAACCGGACUAGAAAGCUGCGACAAUGAUUCCCGUUGCCCACCGCUAUGGAUCGUGCCAUCGAUGAAGAACACCUGGGACUGGAACCUGGAGGAGGACAUGAAGCCCAUCUAUAACGUCAGACGCAAAUGCGCCGGCCUUCAUGAUUCCAGGACCUGGAAUCAUACCAGCCAAUGGGAGCUGAUCGAGCACCUUGAGGCCAAAGUGAGUGCUUACAGCGCGAGAUCUCACCCUCUCAUCGAUUUGUUCAUACCAACCAUCGACAGCGAGCAUGGCAUAUGCUACACCCAUCGUGAGAAACUUCCAGGUAUCACACUGAGUGGCCUAAGCAAGCAUUUCUUCCAGCGCAAUUCCAGGGCGUUCAAAAGGGGCACGUGGACGCGUCGCAAGAUACAGUCGGAGUGCGACAUGCACGCGAUGUGGCAUAACACCAGCAAUACCUUGCCGGUGAUGGUCAACGGCCGGCAGACGGGCAGCAAAAAGGUUCUGGUGUUGCACACCAACAAGAACUUCGACCAGCAGAGGACCAACUAG
rnacentral:rRNA from 1 species